CGUAGGUGGCAAGCGUUGUCCGGAUUUAUUGGGUUUAAAGGGUGCGUAGGCGGCCCUGUAAGUCAGUGCUGAAAUAUCCCGGCUUAACCGGGAGGGUGGCAUUGAUACUGCAGGGCUUGAGUAAAGUUGAGGUAGGCGGAAUUGACGGUGUAGCGGUGAAAUGCUUAGAUAUCGUCAAGAACACCGAUAGUGUAGACAGCUUACUAAGCUUUAACUGACGCUGAGGCACGAAAGUGUGGGGAUCAAACAGGAUUAGAUACCCUGGUAGUCCACACUGUAAACGUUGAAGACUCGCUGUUGGCGAUACACAGUCAGCGGCUGAGAGAAAUCGUUAAGUCUUCCACCUGGGGGGUACGCCGGCAACGGUG
rnacentral:rRNA from 1 species